rnacentral:rRNA from 1 species
UACGUAGGGGGCAAGCGUUGUCCGGAUUUAUUGGGCGUAAAGAGCGUGUAGGCGGCCAAACAGGUCCACUGUGAAAACUCGAGGCUCAACCUCCGAGAGGUCGGUGGAAACCGUCUGGCUAGAGUCCGGAAGAGGAGAGUGGAAUUCCCGGUGUAGCGGUGAAAUGCGCAGAUAUCGGGAAGAACACCCGUGGCGAAGGCGGCUCGCUGGGACGGUACUGACGCUGAGGCG